rnacentral:rRNA from 1 species
AUUGAACGCUGGCGGCAUGCCUUACACAUGCAAGUCGAACGGCAGCAUGAUCUAGCUUGCUAGAUUGAUGGCGAGUGGCGAACGGGUGAGUAAUACAUCGGAACGUGCCCUGUAGUGGGGGAUAACUAGUCGAAAGAUUAGCUAAUACCGCAUACGACCUGAGGGUGAAAGUGGGGGACCGCAAGGCCUCAUGCUAUAGUAGCGGCCGAUGUCUGAUUAGCUAGUUGGUGAGGUAAAGGCUCACCAAGGCGACGAUCAGUAGCUGGUCUGAGAGGACGAUCAGCCACACUGGGACUGAGACACGGCCCAGACUCCUACGGGAGGCAGCAGUGGGGAAUUUUGGACAAUGGGCGAAAGCCUGAUCCAGCAAUGCCGCGUGUGUGAAGAAGGCCUUCGGGUUGUAAAGCACUUUUGUCCGGAAAGAAAUGGCUCUGGUUAAUACCUGGGGUCGAUGACGGUACCGGAAGAAUAAGGACCGGCUAACUACGUG